rnacentral:rRNA from 1 species
UCGCUCCUACCGAUUGAAUGGUCCGGUGAAGCGUCCGGAUGAGUGCGGUUCGGCGGCAACGCUUGGCCCUGCUCAGAAGUUCGUUAAACCUUAUCAUUUAGAGGAAGGAG